GAGCGCAACACAUAGCCAGUCUGACUGGCGCUGAACCUACCCUCGGGUAUUUCAGGUAACGGGGCCGCCUGAAAAGGUGGCCUUUUUACUUUUG
rfam:Klebsiella pneumoniae IS43, WGS project CBWK01000000 data, contig: c136